UAAUAAUAUAUAUUGACUGUUUUAUGUUUGUUUUGUUUUGCGAGUACUAAUGCUAUUGACUAUUGGGUUCAACUUCAAGCUCAAGGUAAUUUGGUAUUAUUAGUAAAUGUAAUAUGUUGUACUUUGUCAAUUUCAAAUUAUACUGAAAUGAAUUUUUGAGUAAUGUGUAUUGACUCUUUUGCAUUUGUUGUGUUUUGCGAGAAUUAAUGAUUUUGACUAAGUACUCCCAAAAUACAUGCCUCCGCAUCUUUAAAUAUUGAGGUACGUAUAAUUUUUAAAUUUAUAUUUUUUUUUUGCCCUAAUUAACUUGAACUUGAAAUUUCCCGGGUUCAAUUUCAAACUCAAGUUAAUUAGGUAUUGUUAUACAAUGCCUUAUGUUGUGCUUUUUCCAUAUCAAAAUAUGUUGAGUUUAUUUUUUGUGUAAUAAUAUAUAUUGACUUUUUGCCAUUUUGUUUUGUUUUGUUUUGCGAGUAACUAAAUGCUAUUUGACUUUGGGUUAACUUUAAACUCAAGGUAAGUAGGUAUUAUUAGUAAAUGUCAUAUUUGUACUUUGUCAAUUUCAUAUAUACUGAUUUGAAUUUUUACGUAAUGUGUUUGACUCGCUUGCAUUUUGUUGUGUUUUGCGAGAAUUAAUGAUUUUGACCUAAGUGCUCUUCCCCAAAUAUAUGUCUCCGGCACCUUUAAAUUUGAGGUACGGUAAUACUUAUUUUAAUUUUAUAUGUUUUUCUUACCCUAAUUAACUUGACCUUGAAAUUCCUCGGUUUCAUUUCAAACUCAGUUCAUUAGGUAUUAUUAAACACAUGCCUUAUUUAUACUUGGGUCUAUAUCAAUUAUGUUGAGUGAAUUUUGGUAAUAAUAAAUAUGGACUAACUGUUUUAAUGUUGUUGUUUUUGUUUGGCGAGUACUAAUGCUAUUAAACCUAUUGGUUCCACUUCAGCUCAAGGUAUUAGGUAUUCUUAGGUAAAAUGUCAUAUGUUUGUAGUACUUUGUCAAUUUCAAAUUAUAUACUGAUUUAAUUUUUGCAGAAUGUGUAUUCACUCUUUUGGCAUUUGUUGUGUUUGCGAGAAUCAUGAUUUUGACUAAGUUAACUCUCAAAUACAUGUCUCCGCAUCUUUAAAUAUUGAGUUACGUAAUAAUUGUUUUAAAUUUUUAAGUUUUUUUUUGCCCUAAUUCACUUGAAAUUGAAAUUCCCCGGGUUCAUUUCAAACUCAAGUUCAUUAGGUAUUAUUAAACAUUCUUAUUGUUAUACUUGUCUAUAAUCACAUUUAUGUUGAGGUGAAUUUUGGCUAAUAAUAUAUAUUGACUGGUUUUUAUGUUUGUUGUUUUUUCCGAGUACUAAUGCUAUUGACUUUGGGUUUUCAAUUUCAAACUCAAUGUAAUUAGGUAUUAUUAGUAAAUUUCAUAUGUUGUACUUUGUUCCCCCCCCCCCCAAUUUCAAAUAUAUACUGAUUUGAAUUUUUUACGUAAUGUGUAUUGCCUCUUUUUGAAUUUGUUGUUUUUUUGCGAGAAUUAAUGAUUUUGACUAAGUCUCCCAAAAAUACAGUCCUCCCUCCCACCUUAAAUAUGAGGUACGUAAUAAUUAUUUUAAAUUUUAUGUUUUUUUUUGCCCUAUUAACUUGAACUUGAAAUUCCCCGGGUCAAUUUCAAACUCAAGUUCAUUAGGUAUUAGUAAACAAUGCCUUAAUGUAUAUUUUGUCUAUAUCAAAUUAUAUUUAGGUGAAAUUUUGGGUAAUAAUAUAUAUUGACUGUUUUAUGUUUGUUUUUGUUUUGUUUGCGAGUAACUAAUGCUAUUGACUAUUGGGUUUUCAACUUCAGCUCAAGUAACUAGUAGUUAUUAUAUGUAAUAUGUUGUACUUUGUCAAUUUCACAAAUUAUACUGAAAUGAUUUUUGAGCAUGUGUAUUGACUCUUUUGCCAUUUGUUUUGUUUUGCGGGAAUGAAUGAUUUUUGACUAGUACUCCCAAAAUACAUGCCUCCGCAUCUUUGAAAUAAUUCAGGUACAUAAUAUAUUUUAAAUUUUAUAUAUUUUUUUUUUGCCCUAAUUAACUUGAACUUGAAUUUUCCCGGUUCAAUUUCAAAUUCAAAGUUAAUAGGUAUUUUUAUACAAUGCCUUGAUGUUGUGCUUUUUUCCAUAUCAAAAUAUGUUGAGUUUUAUUUUUUUGAGUAAUAAUAUAUAUAGACUGUUUUGCAUUUGUUUUGGUUUUGGGGGGGGGGGGGGGGUUUGCGGAGCUACUAACGCGAUUGACUAUUGGUUUCACUUAACCUCCAAGGUAAUUAGGUAUUAUUAGUAAAUGUCAUAUGUUGUACUUUGUCAAUUUUUCAAAUUAAUAUCUGCUUUGAAUUUUUUACGUAUGUUAUUGACUCUUUUGCAAUUUGUUUUGUGUUUUGGCGAAAGUAUGAUUUUGACUGAAGUUCUCCAAAAUUAUAUGUCUCCGACCUUUAAAUAUUGGGUACGUAAUAAUGUUUAAAUUUUAUAUGUUUUUUUUUGCCCUUAUUAACUUGACUUGAAAUUCCCCGGGUUCAAUUUCAACUCAAGGUCAAUUAGGUAUUAUUAAAAAUGCCUUAUGUUAUACUUUGUCUAAUAUCAAAUUAUGUUGAGGUUAAAUUUUGGUAAUAAUAUAUAUUGGAUGUUUUAUGUUUGGUUUUGUUUGCGAGUACUAAUGCUAUUGAUAUUGGGUCAAUUCAGCUCAAGGUACUAUGUAUUAUUAGUAAAAUGUCCUAAUGUUGUACUUUGUCAAUUUCAAAUUAUACUGAAAUGAAUUUUGAGCAUGUGUAUGACUCCUUGGCAUUUGUGUGUUUUGGGAGAAUAGGGAUUUUUACUAAGUAUUCCAAAAGACAUGUCUCCGCAUCUUUAAAUAUUGAGGUAC
rnacentral:lncRNA from 1 species